ensembl:lncRNA novel transcript, sense intronic to GNAI2
CAAGGGCCCACAGGCCCACCACAGGAUUGGUGACCAGCAUUGAGGGGACACUGAGAAAAGUUCUUCAGGCUGUUUCUUCCCAGCCCCGCCACAGGCUAUGCUGGCACCUGAGAGAGUUCUUAUCCCACCCUGUGCGGAACUCCUGCUGAGCAGAGUGGCUUUGUAUUCUUCCUUCCAACUCAGGCUGUUGGUGCACUGCUAGAGGGCUGCUGUCUCUGACACUGCAGUAGCCACAGUCGAGCUUGAGCUGGCUGGUCCAGCAGGGGCUGCUCCGCAGCCCUGGGGCUCAGACCAGAGCAAUGCUGUGAGAGUCCUGGUACUGGCCAGUGCAGAGACUGCACAUAGCAAGGGCUCAAUGAAGUUUACC